GGGAUGUGUCUGGGGAGAUGUUUGGCCAUGGGGCAGGUGGGAUCCAUGUUCCCAUCCCCAUUCCUGGUGUUUCCCUGCAUGAGGAGGUGCUCCAGGCACCUGAUUUCCACAGAGCUGAAUAAUGGAGCUCUUAUCAGCUCACCCUGACUGGGUUGCAGUGUUCUGAGGGAGAUGUUGAAGCACCUUUGCCCAGGGAUGUGUUUGGGGAGGAUAUAUGGCCAUGGGUGCCAUGUUGCCAUGCCCUGUUUCCCUGCAGGUGCACCAGGCACCUGAUUUCCACAGAGCUGAACACUGGAGCUCACCGUGACUGGGUUGAAGUGUUCUGAGGGAAAUGUUGAAGCUCCUUUGCCAGGGGUUGUGUCUGGGGAGGAUAUAUGGCCAUGGGUGCCAUGUUGCCAUGCCCAUUCCUGUUUCCCUGCAGGAGGAGGUGCUCCAGGCACCUGAUUUCCCCAGCUCUGAACCACUGGCACUUUUACACAUCACCCUGACUUGGUUGAAGUGUUCUGAGGGAGAUGUGGAAGUUCCUUUGCCCAGGGGAUGUGUCUGGGGGGAUGUUUGGCCAUGGAGUGGGUGCCAUGUUGCCAUGCCAUGUUUCCCUGCUGGAAGAGGUGCACCAGGGCACCUGACUUCCACAGAGCUCAACAAUCAAACUUUUACCAGCUCACCCUGACUUGUUUGAAGUGUUCUGAGGGAAAUGUUGAAGCUCCUUUGCCCAGGGCUGUGUCUGGGGAUAUGUUUGGCCAUGGAUGCCAUGUUCCCAUGCCCAUUCC
rnacentral:lncRNA from 1 species